AAGGAAGAUUAAUACAAGAUGGCAUCAUGAGUCCGCAUGUUCACAUGAUUAAAGGUAUUCCGGUAGACGAUGGGGAUGCGUUCCAUUAGAUAGUAGGCGGGGUAACGGCCCACCUAGUCUUCGAUGGAUAGGGGUUCUGAGAGGAAGGUCCCCCACAUUGGAACUGAGACACGGUCCAAACUCCUACGGGAGGCAGCAGUGAGGAAUAUUGGUCAAUGGGCGAGAGCCUGAACCAGCCAAGUAGCGUGAAGGAUGACUGCCCUAUGGGUUGUAAACUUCUUUUAUAAAGGAAUAAAGUCGGGUAUGGAUACCCGUUUGCAUGUACUUUAUGAAUAAGGAUCGGCUAACUCCGUGCCAGCAGCCGCGGUAAUACGGAGGAUCCGAGCGUUAUCCGGAUUUAUUGGGUUUAAAGGGAGCGUAGAUGGAUGUUUAAGUCAGUUGUGAAAGUUUGCGGCUCAACCGUAAAAUUGCAGUUGAUACUGGAUAUCUUGAGUGCAGUUGAGGCAGGCGGAAUUCGUGGUGUAGCGGUGAAAUGCUUAGAUAUCACGAAGAACUCCGAUUGCGAAGGCAGCCUGCUAAGCUGCAACUGACAUUGAGGCUCGAAAGUGUGGGUAUCAAACAGGAUUAGAUACCCUGGUAGUCCACACGGUAAACGAUGAAUACUCGCUGUUUGCGAUAUACGGCAAGCGGCCAAGCGAAAGCGUUAAGUAUUCCACCUGGGGAGUAC
rnacentral:rRNA from 1 species